GUAAAGUCGUAACAAGGUUUCCGUAGGUGAACCUGCGGAAGGAUCAUUAUUGAAUAAACUUAGUGUGUUGUAGCUGGCUCUUUGGAGCAUGUGCACAUACACUUUUGUUUCUUUUCACCUGUGCACUCUUUGUAGAUCUGGAUACCUCUCGAGGAAACUCGGUUUGAGGGUUGCUGAUUUCUUUUUGAAGUUGGCUUCUCUUACAUUUCUGGUCUAUGUCUUCAUAUAUACCCUAUAGAAUGUUUAUAAUGGGCUUUAUUGCCUUUAAAAUCAAUACAACUUUCAACAACGGAUCUCUUGGCUCUCGCAUCGAUGAAGAACGCAGCGAAAUGCGAUAAGUAAUGUGAAUUGCAGAAUUCAGUGAAUCAUCGAAUCUUUGAACGCACCUUGCGCUCCUUGGUAUUCUGAGGAGCAUGCCUGUUUGAGUGUCAUUAAAUUCUCAAUCUCUCCAACUUUUAUUAGUUGGUUAGGCUUGGAUGUGGGGGUUGCAGGCUUCUUAAGAAGUUGGCUCUCCUUAAAUGCAUUAGCAGAACUUUUGUGGACUGUCUCUAGUGUGAUAAUUAUCUAUGCUAUUGUACAUGAAACAGCUUUUGAAGUUUAGCUUCUAACAGUUCAUUGACUUGAACAAUCUUUGACCUUUGACCUCAAAUCAGGUAGGAU
rnacentral:rRNA from 1 species